rnacentral:misc_RNA from 1 species
GAUGAAGAACGUAGCGAAAUGCGAUACGUAAUGUGAAUUGCAGAAUUCAGUGAAUCAUCGAAUCUUUGAACGCACAUUGCGCCUGCCAGCACUCUGGCAGGCAUGCCUGUUCGAGCGUCAUUUCAACCAUCAAGCCCUAGGCUUGCGUUGGAGCCCUGCGGCUGCCGCAGGCCCCUAAAAGCAGUGGCGGGCUCGCUAUCACGCCGAGUGCAGUAGAUUACUCUUCGCUCAGGGCGUGUGGCGGGUUCCAGCCGUGAAACCCCCUACUUCUCAAGGUUGACCUCGGAUCAGGUAGGAAUACCCGCUGAACUUAAGCAUAUCAAUAAGCGGAGGA